CUGAUCCAGCCAUGCCGCGUGGGUGAUGAAGGCCUUCGGGUUGUAAACCCCUUUUGUUGGGGAAGAAAUCCUUCGCCUAAUACCCGGGGGGGAUGAC
rnacentral:rRNA from 1 species